rnacentral:rRNA from 1 species
UACGAAGGGGGCUAGCGUUGCUCGGAAUUACUGGGCGUAAAGGGCUCGUAGGCGGUUCGUCACGUCGGGAGUGAAAACUCGGAGCUUAACUCCGAGCCUGCUUCCGAUACGGGCAGACUAGAGGUAGGCAGGGGAGAGCGGAACUCCUGGUGUAGCGGUGGAAUGCGCAGAUAUCAGGAAGAACACCGGUGGCGAAGGCGGGUCUCUGGGCAGUAACUGACGCUGAGGAGCGAAAGCGUGGGGAGCGAACAGG